AGAAGCCUGGCUUUCCAUUAGAGAGUGGGAAGAGAAAUGUGCGGUUUGCAUCAGAUGGCCAUGGUGAGCCUUUUAGGGAAUGGGACCUUUGAACAAAACUUGAAAGAAAUGGUGAGCUACACUCUGACACCAUUCGGGGAAUGCUCCCAAGGGAGGACUAGCCAGUGCCGGAGCCGUAAGGUGGGAGCAGGAAAACAGGAGGCCGUGGCUGGAGCAGAGGGACUGAGUUUGGGGCUGAAGGGAAGAUGGAGAGAUUGCGGCUCUUCCUCUGCACACAUCUGCUCAAAGGAGCUGCUCUAUUGUGAGGCAGUUUUGCACUCGGUCCGCAGGGAUCUUGGUGGGAGCAGACAGCCCAGGCCCUUCAGCCCAGUGUGGAUGCUGAGACCUGAUGGAGUCGGUUGUUCGGAGACCUUCAUGACCUAG
rnacentral:lncRNA from 1 species